GACGAACGCUGGCGGCGUGCUUAACACAUGCAAGUCGAACGGUGAAGCGCCUUCCUUUUUGGUGGGUGGGUAGGGGUGGCGAGCUGGGGAGUAACACGUUAGUAACCUGCCCCCUUCGGCUUGAUAACCGCAUGAAGGUGUUGCUAAUACGUGAUAUUCUGGAUCGGUCGCAUGAUGGGUCUGGGAAGGAUAUUGUUUCGGUUGGGGAUGGGCUCGCGGCCUAUCAGCUUGUUGGUGGGGUGAUGGCCUACCAAGGCGGUGACGGGUAGCCGGCCUGAGAGGGUGGACGGCACCACUGGGAAUGCGACACGGAGCAGACUACUACGGGAGGCAGCAGUGGGGAAUAUUGCACAAUGGGCGGAAGGAUGAUGCAGCGACGCGGGGUGAGGGAUGGAGGUCUUCGGGUUGUGAACCUCUUUCGCGAGUGAAGAAGGGCUGCAGUGUUUGUGGGUGGGUUGACGGUAGCUGGACAAGAAGCGCCGGCUAACUACGUG
rnacentral:rRNA from 1 species